rnacentral:rRNA from 1 species
UACAGGGGGUGCAAACGUUGCUCGGAAUUAUUGGGCGUAAAGCGCGCGUAGGCGGCUACUUAAGUCGGAUGUGAAAGCCCUUGGCUCAACUGAGGAAGUGCACCCGAAACUGAGUAGCUAGAGUACGAAAGAGGGUCGCGGAAUUCCCGGUGUAGAGGUGAAAUUCGUAGAUAUCGGGAGGAACACCGGUGGCGAAGGCGGCGACCUGGGUCGAGACUGACGCUGAGGCGCGAAAGCGUGGGGAGCAAACAGG